AGAGAUGCAUUGGGCGUAAAGUGUGCGCAGGCGGUUUUGUAAGACAGAGGUGAAAUCCCCGGGCUCAACCUGGGAACUGCCUUUGUGACUGCAAGGCUGGAGUGCGGCAGAGGGAGAUGGAAUUCCGCGUGUAGCAGUGAAAUGCGUAGAUAUGCGGAGGAACACCGAUGGCGAAGGCAAUCCCCUGGGCCUGCACUGACGCUCAUGCACGAAAGCGUGGGGAGCAAACA
rnacentral:rRNA from 1 species